rnacentral:lncRNA from 1 species
AACUAAGUGAAAGAUAGGGCACAAUUAAAGAAAAGAUUUAUAGGCGAUACCUAUUAGUUGAAUAUAUGUUUUAGUCAUGUUAGCACUUUUAUUUUACGUCCAAUGUUUUUCCAAGGAUUGUUUAGCCUUUCAGAUAUUCAUACGUCACUAGAAAAUAUAAUGGACUAUUACUUUUUAAUUUAUUUUUGUUACUAUUUUAUUUUUGGAUAAUAUUGUCUUGUGAUGAGUUCAUAUGUUGUAACAAUUCAUAUAGCCGACCUCAACGUGUUUAGGACUGAAGUAUAAUUAUUGUUGUUGUAAAGAGAAAAUAUGCAAAUAUCCACAAAUAAAAGCAAUAAAACAAGGAGGGGGAACUGGUGAAUGAAAGGAGUUAAGUGGUAGAAACUUCGACAAAGUCUACUUGUUGGAAAACGCUUAUAAAGAUUUGGUAGAGACAAGUACAACAUAUAAACCUCUAGUAACAGUUAAUUGGGGAGAAGAUGGACUGUGGACGUCAAGUAAAAUAACCCCACACAUGAGGUGUACGGAAGUAUAUCCGAGGAUACUGAGAAGUGUAUUUAAUUUGCUCCCAUUGUAUGUUUUUAUCUUUAUCAGCAUCAAAUACAAGUUUAUUUUAUGUAGUGCACCCAAUUAACUAGUUUCCAAUAAACUGACUAUUUAACAUAUGAAAUAUAUUUUAGAUCAUGUAGUAUACCCACUUAACUAGUUGUCAAUAAACUAAUAUACUUACAAUUGUUUGGUUUUUGUACCAGAAAAAAUAACUCAUUUUAUUCACAUACUAAUUAUAUGGAGAUUAUAAUCAAUCCAUUGUUUAUUCGGUCAAUAAUGACAAAGUGACUGUUAUGGGGUGAACAAUAAUGAAGGGAUUGUUAAGCAGUGAAUAAUAAUGUAGUAAUUCUUAUAUGUUGAACAAUAAUACAUGGAAUUUAUGAAGGGAGAACUUAUUUUUAGCGCAUGUUUGUCUUUAAGUAAUUUUACCCUCGUAUUGCUAAUACAUAUUCUAUCCUGUGUAAAACAUAUUCUUUUUCUAUAUUCUAUCAUGUGUAAAAUAAGCAAAGAUUCCUGCACAACUUAAUGCAGAUAUUAUUUAAUACUGUCAACUAAACGUAGCAUUAGUUGUGUGUGAAUUAGAUAUUCUUAUAGGGCCAACCAAACGUUGCAUUA